rnacentral:rRNA from 1 species
CCCGCGGCAAGACGGAAAGACCCCGUGAACCUUUACUAUAGCUUGACACUGAACAUUGAGCCUUGAUGUGUAGGAUAGGUGGGAGGCUUUGAAGCGUGGACGCCAGUCUGCGUGGAGCCAACCUUGAAAUACCACCCUUUAAUGUUUGAUGUUCUAACGUUGGCCCCUGACCGGGGUUGCGGACAGUGUCUGGUGGGUAGUUUGACUGGGGCGGUCUCCUCCCAAAGCGUAACGGAGGAGCACGAAGGUUAGCUAAUCCUGGUCGGACAUCAGGAGGUUAGUGCAAUGGCAUAAGCUAGCUUGACUGCGAGCGUGACGGCGCGAGCAGGUGCGAAAGCAGGUCAUAGUGAUCCGGUGGUUCUGAAUGGAAGGGCCAUCGCUCAACGGAUAAAAGGUACUCCGGGGAUAACAGGCUGAUACCGCCCAAGAGUUCAUAUCGACGGCGGUGUUUGGCACCUCGAUGUCGGCUCAUCACAUCCUGGGGCUGAAGUAGGUCCCAAGGGUAUGGCUGUUCGCCAUUUAAAGUGGUACGCGAGCUGGGUUUAGAACGUCGUGAGACAGUUCGGUCCCUAUCUGCCGUGGGCGCUGGAG